rnacentral:rRNA from 1 species
CGGCGCACGGGUGAGUAACGCGUAUGCAACCUACCUUAUACAGGAGUAUAGCCCGAAGAAAUUCGGAUUAAUCCUCCAUAGUAUUCUUUAAUGGCAUCAUUUGAAGAAUUAAAGCUUCGGCGGUAUAAGAUGGGCAUGCGUCCUAUUAGCUAGAUGGUAAGGUAACGGCUUACCAUGGCUACGAUAGGUAGGGGGCCUGAGAGGGUGAUCCCCCACACUGGUACUGAGACACGGACCAGACUCCUACGGGAGGCAGCAGUGAGGAAUAUUGGGCAAUGGGCGCAAGCCUGACCCAGCCAUGCCGCGUGCAGGAAGAAUGCCCUAUGGGUUGUAAACUGCUUUUAUUUAGGAAUAAACCCCUUUACGUGUAGAGGGCUGAAUGUACUAAACGAAUUAAGCACCGGCUAACUCCGUGCCAGCAGCCGCGGUAAU